rnacentral:lncRNA from 1 species
UUUUAUAAUUUUUAUGAAUAGUUUUCUAAAUUAUGGAUUCGUUAAGGAGUAUCAAUCAGGGUAUUAUUACAUUAUUGUCUUAAAACAAUUUUGUUGUCUGAUUGAUGAAGGGUUGCAGCAUUCACAAAGCUACGUGGAGUUAGAUGAAACCAAUGGUUUCAACUACCCCUGCAACUUGGAUCCUGCUGACUGCUGAGCAUUGGAAAAUGGCAAAAUACAAAAGCNN